GGCUGGCUGGCUUCUGUGAUUUCUAUUCUGUACUCAUCACUUUUUUUGGCCUGAUGUGACACUAAUUUCUGGAAGCCACAACGUUCAGAACUAAAGCCAGGUUUCAAAGACCCUAAACUUCAGGGCAGUUCCUAUCUGCGGUCUUGGUUUGGCCAAUUAUUAACACCAGGGUCAUUUGCAAAAUUCAGAUUCCCCAGGGUCAGGUUUUUUCAAACACAUGGCCCCCUCCCUGCUUCCAAAAUUCAGUGCUGUUCAAAUCUGCUGUUUUGGUUUGGAUCUCUCUCUCUCUCUAAGCAUUUAUUCCUAUUAGCCCUUGAAAGCUAAUACAAUUAGGGGAGAGAAAGUUGGAUUCUGUGCUAUCUUGUGCAUCAUCAGAACUGUCAGCUGAACUCCCAUGGCAGAUGGCAGAAUCUUUGUUACAGGUGAUGGUAUAAGGGGCAGGAAGAGCCUGGCUGGAUUUUUGGAGCCCAUGUGCUGUUUGUGACACUGGCCACUGGAAAAUCCUUGUAAACUGAGCUAAUCUGUGAGACUGAAUGAGGAGCUCCCAAAUGCUAUUUUUCAAAGUGAACCUUAAAAGUGAAUGCUGCCUAGCAAAGAAAUCAUUUGAACUGGGGCUAAAUUGUUCCCUUUCACAGGUGAAAUGUUUUUAGAUACGUACAAUGGAAAAACGUACAAUAUUAUUAAACCCUGGGAGAAGCAGCUCCAGACUGUGCUCAGUUUCUAAGCCUUGGAACCUCACCAGAAGAGCCUGUUGUAAUUAAACUAGCAUAGGGAGGGCUUGCCAGAGAAACCUAAUGGCCCUGAAUGCCCAAGUCCCAUCAGAAAUUAAUGGCAGCUUUGAAAAUUCUACCUUCAGCACGUAUACACGCAGGCAUGUGUGUACAUAUACAUGCUCACACAUGCCCAUAAGCAGUGCCCAACCACUUGGCCUGUUUAUAGAGUUUGGACACUAGCAUCACAAUGAAGAUGUCAGCUGGCAGAGCAUGCUGGGAACUGGAAUGUAGAGGGUGGUGGUAACACCAGCAAGCAUCCCAGUGUGGUUGGUGGACAAAACCCACAUUGCGACCUCAUUAAUUAAUCUUCCCAGAUAUACAGCCCAUCACCUACAGAGCCAAAACAAUGAUGGCUGUUUGGUAGCCCCAUGCAAAGCAAAUGGAAGGGCUCCAGUCCAAUUCCUUGCAGACAGCUGUCCAUCAUAUCAAAGAUGCCAACAUGAUUGGUACCCUUUAUUGGCUGUUGCAGCAGAACGUCAAGGACUGAAUGGGCCAUCGAUGAUGAACUCCCCUUUCGCCCCGAGAGAUUCCUCCCAAUGCAAGGUUAAGAACAGGCACAGUGCAAAGGGCAAUAAUGCAAGCUUCCCCACUGGAGGCCUUCAUCUCCAAAGUUAUCAGGCUGGUACCUUUCACCACCAUUGUAAAAAAACAAUA